rnacentral:rRNA from 1 species
AACGAACGCUGGCGGCAUGCCUAACACAUGCAAGUCGAACGAGAUCUUCGGGUCUAGUGGCGCACGGGUGCGUAACGCGUGGGAAUCUGCCCUUUGGUUCGGAAUAACAGUUGGAAACGACUGCUAAUACCGGAUGAUGACGAAAGUCCAAAGAUUUAUCGCCAGAGGAUGAGCCCGCGUAGGAUUAGCUAGUUGGUGUGGUAAAGGCGCACCAAGGCGACGAUCCUUAGCUGGUCUGAGAGGAUGAUCAGCCACACUGGGACUGAGACACGGCCCAGACUCCUACGGGAGGCAGCAGUGGGGAAUAUUGGACAAUGGGCGAAAGCCUGAUCCAGCAAUGCCGCGUGAGUGAUGAAGGCCUUAGGGUUGUAAAGCUCUUUCACCGAUGAAGAUAAUGACGGUAGUCGGAGAAGAAGCACCGGCUAACUACGUGCCAGCCGCCGCAGUAA